CACGUAGGAACCUGCCCGGAAGUGGGGGAUAACUCCUCGAAAGAGGAGCUAAUACCGCAUACGGUCUACGGACCAAAGCAGCAAUGCGCUUCUGGAGGGGCCUGCGGUGGAUUAGCUAGUUGGUGGGGUAAUGGCCUACCAAGGCGACGAUCCAUAGCUGGUCUGAGAGGACGGCCAGCCACACUGGGACUGAGACACGGCCCAG
rnacentral:rRNA from 1 species